CCUCCUUGGUCUGUGGGAUGGACAUGGGCCUAGUGGGGAGAGAGUGCCCCCAGAGGGCAACAGGCCAGUCGCUGCCCCUAAAGACUGCCUGCUUGACCUAGCACCGUGGAAACCUGCCCAGCCUGCCUUGCUCACCACCUCCCGUGGUCCUACGUCUGAUUGCUGGCAGAGCUCUGUCUGGUUCUGGAGCCUUUGGGAUUCCCCAAACCCUGAGUGAGAAAGUUCACCUUCCAGGACUUUCCGUGCUCCUCUGGCAAGGACAACAUGGGCAAAGUGCUAAGAUUUUGGACUACGAGGUUUGGCGCUGCCAGUGCUCUCAGGACAGGAAGGGCACAGGUCUUGAACCCUGAAGAUGAAGAGAGAUGGAGCAGGUGCUAAUCACCAGGCCUCUUCCAGAGCGGCUGGAGGUAAGUGCCGGGCUCCAGGCUCCAAUCUCCACCCAGAUGGAGAAAGGCCCAGAUUUCAUGGCUAUCCCUGAGGAAUCUGGGUCAGUUCUCUGAUUUGGCCACCAGGGGUCAUUUUACCCCUGUAAAUCACCAUCUGGAGCACUUGGCAUAAAGGCACACACAAAAGGCUACCCUGGACUAAAACAGACACAAACGGAGAACCCUGACACACACACACACACACACACACACACCUCUCUCUCUCUCUCUCUCACACACACACACACACACAUUCUCUCACACACACAGAGUGCGUGCACACACAGAUAAAAAUACAGUAUUGAGACAUAGGGACAGAAAUGCUAUAGGACGCACACAGGGCAACAGCUCCUUCAGUAAUGCCAGGGUCUGAAGAUGUCCACAAGUGCCAACUCUGCAGCCCCUCCGAGCCCCCAACUUGGGUGAAGAGGGAAGGAAUAGCCGGGCACAAUGGCUCAUGCCUGUAAUCCCAGCACUUUGGGACGCAGGCAGAUUCACCUGAGGUCAGGAGUUCGA
rnacentral:lncRNA from 1 species